AGUCCUCCAAAAAACUCAAAAGCCGAAAUCCACAGAGAGAGAGAGAGAGAGGCAGCAGCCACCACCGCCACCACCGGAACCCUAAAAACGCGCCGGUUUCAAUGGCCGAGUCGACUCAGCUCCAGCAGGCGCAACUCGCGACGAUUCUCGCUCCCGACCCGGCCCCUUUCGAAACCCUAAUCUCCCACCUGAUGGCCUCCGUCAACGAGCAGCGAUCCCAGGCCGAGCUCUGCAAGCAGACCGAUCCUGACUCGCUCUAACGCUGAUUUCGGGUUUCAGUGUUGCAGGAGAAGGAUUUUAGAUUAUCUGAGGGAGAAAGAUGGAGCAAGAAUUCAGAUGAGACUUCAGAUGGACUUUAAAUUAUUUAAUGUUCUGCAGUCUCUUUGUUUUCUCUUCUUAUUCAGAUUGUGAUAAGAAAUAUCAACUGCAAGUAGAGCAAAUAUCAAGAACUGUCAGCUGUUGUAUUCUGUAACCAGUUUGGAUUCAGGUUGCAAUAUAACAUGAGGUGAACCAAGCAAAUUUCUCUGCAACAAGUAUGACGAUAUAUCUUUCCCAACCUGUUCCAUCAUCUUAGCUACUUCUUUGUCCUUUCCCAAACUCUAACUACAUGUUACCUGUGUCUUGAACAAUUCUAAAGUGUGCUACCAUAUACAAUAAUCUUUUGUUGUGAAUUGCAUUUUGUAUAUAAACUAAGUAUAUAGAAUUCAAAAACCCGCAGCAAAGCGCGGGCCUAAUUUCUAGUUAGU